UGGGGAAUUUUGGACGAAUUGGGCGAAAGCCGAUCCAGCAAUGCCGCGUGUGUGAAGAAGGCCUUCGGGUUGUAAAGCACUUUUGUCCGGAAAGAAAUCCUUGGCUCUAAUACAGUCGGGGGAUGACGGUACCGGAAGAAUAAGCACCGGCUAACUACGUGCCAGCAGCCGCGGUAAUACGUAGGGUGCAAGCGUUAAUCGGAAUUACUGGGCGUAAAGCGUGCGCAGGCGGUUUGCUAAGACCGAUGUGAAAUCCCCGGGCUCAACCUGGGAACUGCAUUGGUGACUGGCAGGCUAGAGUAUGGCAGAGGGGGGUAGAAUUCCACGUGUAGCAGUGAAAUGCGUAGAGAUGUGGAGGAAUACCGAUGGCGAAGGCAGCCCCCUGGGCCAAGUACUGACGCUCAUGCACGAAAGCGU
rnacentral:rRNA from 1 species